rnacentral:lncRNA from 1 species
GAAUCACACAAUUAAUCAUAUUCCAAACUACUAAAAUACCAAGAAAUACUAUAAUAUUUUCUCCCAGUACCAAUACUCUUUCAUCAAUUGAUAACAACAGUGUGCAAUCCUGCACUCUCAAAAGAUCGCUCAAAACACAUAAUUUCCAUCCAAUACCAAAAAUAACAGACUUCAUUCCAACCAAUUUGAAUUCACAUAAUUUCUGUAAUCACAGACUUCCUCUGUCGAAACACACACAGCUCUCAAUAAACAACAAUCAUAAUCUUCCAAUAAUUCUUCAUAUAAUUCAAUCAUUUAGUACUCUAAUUACAUAAUCAAUAACUCAUAAAUCAAUCUCUAAUUUAUUCUACAGACUCACUUCUCAGUAUUCAAAAACUAUUCAUUAUUUUUAAACAAUAAAGAAGCAAGAAACAAAAAUAUAGCACCAAGCUUACCUCGGCUCAUGACUAUUACAGUCUGGCCCUCAGACUAACUUCUACAACUCUUAUAUACUUACUCCCUAUUCCCAGAUUCUAACCAUAAUCCUGUAAUUAAUCACUUUUAAUAACUAAGUUAAUCAUCUGUCCUCCUGAACUGACUAUUCUAUAGACUAUUAGUCUAUUUUAUCAAUAUCUUAUAGAAAAGAACUAAUAUCUAUUCUAUAUAGCCCCACUCCUAUCUGUGCAACAUCCUCGCAAACAUAUAAUUGUUACUUAUCUAAAAACUACUUAACAAAACUCUAUAAAGUUAUUAUUUCUUGUGGCCCACCCAAUUGAUCAUUUGUUGCAUUAUCUAAUGUGGGUUCCAUCGAUUUUGGUUCUAAAUACAAAUCUUCCUCCUCCUCUAAUCCAUCCAUCAACUCCAUAUUAGUAACGAUUAUCACAAAUGGUAGUUUUGAUGUACGUCUAGCUCUCAGAUUUUGACCAUUGUCCUCUUUGUCUGUAGCUCGCUUUGUACUUUCAAUUGCCAUGACGCUUCCUCUCUCAAACUCUCAACUGGAACUACUACUCUCAAAUAUACAAGAAACAUAACAAAUGGCAAUCUCAAAAAAAAAAACAACCCAAAACGACACCACAGAAUGACCUCUACCUAGUGCCCCACUCCUAUUUUCUUAUUACCUGGUGCUAAUGACAACAUAUUAUCCAUACUCUCCGUUUCUCACCUCCAUCCCAUCU